rnacentral:rRNA from 1 species
UGCUAGUCGUGCGCCUCCAGGCCACGGUGGAGGUGCGGCGCACAGCUCAGUAACACGUGGCUAACCUACCCUUGGGACGGGGACAACCCCGGGAAACUGGGGCUAAUCUCUGAUAGGUGAGGACUCCUGGAAUGGGUCCUCGCCGAAAGGGCGCCUAGACCAUGCUCCUAGGCGCUGCCCAAGGAUGGGGCCGCGGCCGAUCAGGUUGUUGGUGAGGUAACGGCUCACCAAGCCUAAGACCGGUACGGGCCGUGGGAGCGGUAGCCCGGAGAUGGACACUGAGACAAGGGUCCAGGCCCUACGGGGCGCAGCAGUCGCGAAACCUCCGCAAUACGCGAAAGCGUGACGGGGCCACCCCGAGUGCCGUCCGCUGAGGAUGGCUUUUCCCUAGUGUAGAUAGCUGGGGGGAAUAAGGGGAGGGCAAGUCGGGUGUC